UACAGAGGUCUCAAGCGUUGUUCGGAUUCAUUGGGCGUAAAGGGUGCGUAGGUGGCGCGCUAAGUCAGGUGUGAAAUUUCGGAGCUUAACUCCGAAGCUGCAUUUGAUACUGGUGUGCUUGAGGACUGGAGAGGAGACUGGAAUUCAUGGUGUAGCAGUGAAAUGCGUAGAGAUCAUGAGGAAGACCAGUGGCGAAGGCGGGUCUCUGGACAGUUCCUGACACUGAGGCACGAAGGCCAGGGGAGCAAACGGG
rnacentral:rRNA from 1 species